CCUACGGGUGGCAGCAGUCGGGAAUAUUGCGCAAUGGAGGAAACUCUGACGCAGUGACGCCGCGUGCAGGAAGAAGGUUUUCGGAUUGUAAACUGCUUUAGACAGGGAAGAAAAAAGACAGUACCUGUAGAAUAAGCUCCGGCUAACUACGUGCCAGCAGCCGCGGUAAUACGUAGGGAGCAAGCGUUAUCCGGAUUUAUUGGGUGUAAAGGGCGUGCAGCCGGAGAGACAAGUCAGAUGUGAAAUCCACGGGCUCAACCCGUGAACUGCAUUUGAAACUGUUUCCCUUGAGUGUCGGAGAGGUAAUCGGAAUUCCUUGGGUAGCGGUGAAAUGCGUAGAUAUAAGGAAGAACACCAGUGGCGAAGGCGGAUUACUGGACGAUAACUGACGGUGAGGCGCGAAAGCGUGGGGAGCAAACAGGAUUAGAUACCCCAGUAGUC
rnacentral:rRNA from 1 species